rnacentral:rRNA from 1 species
UAAUUUGAGAGUUUGAUCCUGGCUCAGGACGAACGCUGGCGGCGUGCCUAAUACAUGCAAGUCGAACGAACUCUGGUAUUGAUUGGUGCUUGCAUCAUGAUUUACGUUUGAGUGAGUGGCGAACUGGUGAGUAACACGUGGGAAACCUGCCCAGAAGCGGGGGAUAACACCUGGAAACAGAUGCUAAUACCGCAUAACAACUUGGACCGCAUGGUCCGAGCUUGAAAGAUGGCUUCGGCUAUCACUUUUGGAUGGUCCCGCGGCGUAUUAGCUAGAUGGUGGGGUAACGGCUCACCAUGGCAAUGAUACGUAGCCGACCUGAGAGGGUAAUCGGCCACAUUGGGACUGAGACACGGCCCAAACUCCUACGGGAGGCAGCAGUAGGGAAUCUUCCACAAUGGACGAAAGUCUGAUGGAGCAACGCCGCGUGAGUGAAGAAGGGUUUCGGCUCGUAAAACUCUGUUGUUAAAGAAGAACAUAUCUGAGAGUAACUGUUCAGGUAUUGACGGUAUUUAACCAGAAAGCCACGGCUAACUACGUGCCAGCAGCCGCGGUAAUACGUAGGUGGCAAGCGUUGUCCGGAUUUAUUGGGCGUAAAGCGAGCGCAGGCGGUUUUUUAAGUCUGAUGUGAAAGCCUUCGGCUCAACCGAAGAAGUGCAUCGGAAACUGGGAAACUUGAGUGCAGAAGAGGACAGUGGAACUCCAUGUGUAGCGGUGAAAUGCGUAGAUAUAUGGAAGAACACCAGUGGCGAAGGCGGCUGUCUGGUCUGUAACUGACGCUGAGGCUCGAAAGUAUGGGUAGCAAACAGGAUUAGAUACCCUGGUAGUCCAUACCGUAAACGAUGAAUGCUAAGUGUUGGAGGGUUUCCGCCCUUCAGUGCUGCAGCUAACGCAUUAAGCAUUCCGCCUGGGGAGUACGGCCGCAAGGCUGAAACUCAAAGGAAUUGACGGGGGCCCGCACAAGCGGUGGAGCAUGUGGUUUAAUUCGAAGCUACGCGAAGAACCUUACCAGGUCUUGACAUACUAUGCAAAUCUAAGAGAUUAGACGUUCCCUUCGGGGACAUGGAUACAGGUGGUGCAUGGUUGUCGUCAGCUCGUGUCGUGAGAUGUUGGGUUAAGUCCCGCAACGAGCGCAACCCUUAUUAUCAGUUGCCAGCAUUAAGUUGGGCACUCUGGUGAGACUGCCGGUGACAAACCGGAGGAAGGUGGGGAUGACGUCAAAUCAUCAUGCCCCUCAUGACCUGGGCUACACACGUGCUACAAUGGAUGGUACAACGAGUUGCGAACUCGCGAGAGUAAGCUAAUCUCUUAAAGCCAUUCUCAGUUCGGAUUGUAGGCUGCAACUCGCCUACAUGAAGUCGGAAUCGCUAGUAAUCGCGGAUCAGCAUGCCGCGGUGAAUACGUUCCCGGGCCUUGUACACACCGCCCGUCACACCAUGAGAGUUUGUAACACCCAAAGUCGGUGGGGUAACCUUUUAGGAACCAGCCGCCUAAGGUGGGACAGAUGAUUAGGGUGAAGUCGUAACAAGGUAGCCGUAGGAGAACCUGCGGCUGGAUCACCUCCUUU